GCCGGAGUGGUGGAAGGGCAGACACGGCGGACUUAAAAUCCUCUGGGCAGCCAUUGCCCGUGCGGGUUCGAAUCCCGCCUCCGGCACCA
rnacentral:tRNA from 1 species